UAGGGAAUCUUCCACAAUGGACGCAAGUCUGAUGGAGCAACGCCGCGUGAGUGAAGAAGGUUUUCGGACCGUAAAGCUCUGUUGUUGGUGAAGAAGGAUAGAGGUAGUAACUGGCCUUUAUUUGACGGUAAUCAACCAGAAAGUCACGGCUAACUACGUGCCAGCAGCCGCGGUAAUACGUAGGUGGCAAGCGUUGUCCGGAUUUAUUGGGCGUAAAGCGAGCGCAGGCGGAAGAAUAAGUCUGAUGUGAAAGCCCUCGGCUUAACCGAGGAAUUGCAUCGGAAACUGUUUUUCCUUGAGUGCAGAAGAGGAGAGUAGAACUCCAUGUGUAGCGGUGGAAUGCGUAGAUAUAUGGAAGAAUACCAGUGGCGAAGGCGGCUCUCUGGUCUGCAACUGACGCUGAGGCUCGAAAGCAUGGGUAGCGAACAGGAUUAGAUACCCUGGUAGUCCA
rnacentral:rRNA from 1 species